GAUGAACGCUGGCGGCGUGCUUAACACAUGCAAGUCGAACGGAAAGGCGCUGCUUUUGUGCGGUGCUCGAGUGGCGAACGGGUGAGUAAAACGCGAGUAACCCGCCCUUGUCAUUGUGAUAACUUCAGGAAACUGGGGCUAAUACCGGGUAGGAGCUCUUGCUGCACGGGGGGGGUUGGAAAGAUACGGCGGUGGGGGAUGGACUCGCAGCUUAUGAGCUAGCUGGGGGGGUAGUGGCUUACAAAGCGUUUGACGGGUAGCCGGCCUUGGAGGGGGACCGGGCACAAUGGGACUGCGAGACGGCGCAGAAGGCUACGUGAGGCAGCAGUGGGGAGUCUUGCAGAGCGAGCGGACGCCUGAUGCAGCAGCGCCGCGUGCGGGAUGCCGGCCUUCGAGUUGUAAACCGCUUUCGCAUGUGACGAAGCGUGCGUGACGGUAAUGGGUCAAGAAGCAACGGCUAACUACGUG
rnacentral:rRNA from 1 species